ensembl:lncRNA
GGGGAAGAGGCGGAUGGAUGGGGAGACUGUAAGAGGCUUAUUGUCAUGACGAUAUCUGGAUAAAGAAGGAGCUGUGCGGUUUAACUUUCAAGUGAGUGUGAAGAAUCGAACGUACAGCUGAGGGCUGGUGAGACAAAGUGCAGACAACUAACUGCUGGAGAGCUCAAAGCAUUUGGCUGCUUCUUCCAGAGGGAUGCGUGCAUGAUCGCACCUGCGCGUGAGCGUCUGUGCAGAUUUAACAGCGGGUGAUGAAGAGGGAGCUACUUAAAGAGCAAGCCCCGAAGUGCCCGUAGGAGACCUGAUCAUCAAGGCCGCCAGUGUGGCAGAGGGACCCUGGAGAAAGAACGGCACUGCACACCGCUCCCACUUUGCAAACUUCUCCAGGUGGUGAAAGAGUCCAGACCCGGGCAGGAAGGAGUCUUCUCUCUCCAGAAGUUAAGCUCUUGGAAUCUGGAAGAAUCCUACUGGACACCUGGGAUGAUCUUUCAUGAAUCUCUCUCAUAAUUUUUGUCUUAUUUUCUUUAAUAUUUUAUACAUACAGAAAUAUGUGUAACAUAUGUGUUAGUUAUAAGCAUAAUUAAAAAAUGGAAAUCUGUAAGUCUACCAGCCCAUCCGAGGAUGAACGUGUCUCCAGGAACACUGCAUGAGCUUAGCGGUUUGCUCCACUUCUCCCGGAAGUAACCAAGAUCCUGGGUUUUGUGCUCCUCAUGAAUCCCCUUGCUAAGAUAAAACCAAAGCAAAACAAAACAAAAAUAUUAUAGUCUGUAUUUAGAUAUUUUGCUUUAAAAUUUGCCUCGUGGUUCUUGUCUUCCCUUUUAAGAGCUUUGUCAAAAUGGGAGUAUGUGUACAGCUUUUCAG